GCAGAGCAUCCUACGGGAGGCAGCAGUGGGGAAUAUUCGCACUAAUGGGCGCAAGCCUGAUGCAGCCCAGUGCCCGCGUUGUAUUGGAAGAAGGUCCUUCGGGUUGUAAAGUACUUUCAGCAGUGAGGAAGUGGGUAUGUUAAUACGCAUAUUCAUUUGACGUUAGCUGCAGAAGAAGCACCGGCUAACUCCGUGCCAGCAGCCGCGGUAAUACGGAGGGUGCGAGCGUUAAUCGGAAUUACUGGGCGUAAAGCGCAUGCAGGUGGUUGUUAAGUCAGAUGUGAAAGCCCGGGGCUCAACCUCGGAAUUGCAUUUGAAACUGGCAAACUAGAGUACUGUAGAGGGGGUAGAAUUUCAGGUGUAGCGGUGAAAUGCGUAGAGAUCUGAAGGAAUACCGGUGGCGAAGGCGGCCCCCUGGACAGAUACUGACACUCAGAUGCGAAAGCGUGGGGAGCAAACAGGAUUAGAUACCCUGGUAG
rnacentral:rRNA from 1 species